UCAAAAUAUUGUAAUGAUUGUGGCUUGGUCCUUAAAAUACGAAUGCAUGUUGAGCUCUAAUUCGGAGUGUAUUAAGUAGUAUGAACUGGAGUUCUAUCUUAAAACCUUAUAUGUUGGUUUAUAUUUUCAUAUUUAUUCUAUAUGAUACAAGAUUUUUCUGUAACAUCGAACCUUCAACCUUCACAUCUAAGUCUGCUAGCCCAAAUACCAACCAUUUUUUUCUGCAAAGAAACCUAUGGGAUUAAUUUAUGGACUGAAUGACACAGAAAACACUGUAAUACAUCUUCACAUCUAGCUUGGGAAGGGAGUACUUAUCUAAAGCACAUGCCUCCUAAAUAUC
rnacentral:lncRNA from 1 species